rnacentral:rRNA from 1 species
UGGGGAAUAUUGGACAAUGGGCGCAAGCCUGAUCCAGCCAUGCCGCGUGAGUGAUGAAGGCCCUAGGGUUGUAAAGCUCUUUUGUGCGGGAAGAUAAUGACGGUACCGCCAAAGGAAGCGCCGGCUAACUCCGUGCCAGCAGCCGCGGUAAGACGGAGGGCGCGAGCGUUGUUCGGAAUCACUGGGCGUAAAGCGCGCGCAGGCGGGACGAGCAAGUCGGAAGUGAAAUCCCGGGGCUCAACUCCGGGACUGCUUCCGAAACUGCCGACCUGGAGGCCGGUAGAGGUGGGUGGAAUUCCCGGUGUAGCGGUGGAAUGCGUAGAGAUCGGGAAGAACACCUGUGGCGAAGGCGGCCCACUGGGCCGGUUCUGACGCUGAGGCGCGAAAGCGUGGGGAGCAAACAG